rnacentral:misc_RNA from 1 species
ACAAAGGGUGCCUUCAACUAUAUGGGCAAGAGCCCUCUCACCAAUGGACAAGAAUCCUUUCCUCUUGAAUUCUAUCAUUUAUCCAUGUUAGGCCAAAGCCUCUCUUCACUGCAACUCAACAAUAGGCAGAGCCCUCUCUACAAUGGGCGACAGCCUCAUUCCAUGAGCUGAAAGCCACUCUCUUCAAUGGGCAAAAGCAAAAUAACCUUUUGCAUCAUUCUCCUAUUUAUAGUGUUAAUUCCCUCAAUCCUAAUCUGAUUAGGAGUCCAUCUCAAUUUACAAAUAAUACUAAAAUAGGAGCUUUACUCUAUAUAACAAAUACUACUUCAUUCCAUUGAGAAAUAUUUCUCUUACUAAAAUUAGAAAAAGAUCUCUCUAUAUAUCCCAUAAGGUUAUGAGUCACAAAACUAACAAAUCAUAAUCAAAAGCUACUUAAUAAUAGAAGAUAUAGUCCGACUAUAUAUAGUGUUUUUGCAAUCCUAAUCGCAAAUGAAUUAGGAACACUAAUUCAACUCUAAUUAGGAAUAUAAUAAACCUAAAUAAAAUACUAAAUCUAAAAGAAUUCUUGAAUAAUAAAAACUACAAAUUUCCUAGUUCUAUAAUGAAUAAAAUUCCUAAAUUCUAUCUUCCUAUACUGCAUCAUAUAUAUUCUAAGAUGCACUAGUACUGGCUUUGUUUGGUUUACUUUGAAGUAACUAUGAUCAACUUGAUUCUGUUAUUAUUUGCAUGCGGCAAGCAAAUAUUUACCAUUCUGGUUUUUCUGGGUAUGUGUGUUUCAUAGAAUAUCGGUACUUUUUUGAACAUGCCAUUCUGUGAACUUGGUUUAAUCUUUGCCUUAUCCAGAUUGAAGAUCAUGGUUUCAGCAGUGGCUACUUUCCUUUCAUAGUUGCAGAGGAAGAUGUUUGUUCAGAGAUCCGUAUGCUUGAGGGUGUGUUGGAGUUGGCUGAAACAGAUGCUCAUGUUACUGGAACUGGAAAAAUGGAAGCCAAAAAUCAAGCUAUGGACUUCAUUCAUGAAAUAGGUUGGCUUCUUCACAGAAGCCAAUUGAAGUCCAGAUUGGGCCACUUGGAUCCUUACACAGACCUCUUCCCUUUAAAAAGGUUCAAGUGGCUCAUGGAGUUCUCCAUGGAUCAUGAAUGGUGUGCUGUAGUGAAAAAACUCUUGAACAUACUUCUCAAAGGCAUUGUUGGUACAGGAGAGCACUCAUCUCUAAACCUUGCAUUAUCAGAAAUGGGCCUUCUUCAUCGAGCCGUGCGGAAGAAUUCUAGAUCUCUAGUGGAGCUUCUUUUAAGAUAUGUUCCUGGGAAAUCAGGACCUGAAAACAAGUUGCUGAUUGGUGGAAGCCAUGAGGACAACUUGUUUAGACCGGAUGUUACAGGACCUGCAGGUUUGACGCCUCUACACAUUGCAGCUGGUAAAGAUGGUUCUGAAGGUGUAGUGGAUGCAUUAACUGAUGAUCCUGGAAUGGUGGGAAUUGAAGCAUGGAAGAGUGCUCGUGACAGCACAGGUUUCACACCAGAAGAUUAUGCUCGUUUGCGAGGCCACUACUCGUACAUCCACUUGGUACAGAAAAAAAUUAACAAGAGAACAACUGUGGGGCACGUGCUACUCGACAUUCCUGGCACUUUAUCGGACUGCAGCAUUAACCAGAAGCAAAAUGAAGAGGUGACCACUAGCUUCGACAUUGGACAAACAGCAAUGAGACCCAUUCAGCAGCCCUGCAAGCUUUGCCAUCAAAAGCUGGAUUUUGUAACGGCUGGCAGGUCAUUAUUGUAUAGGCCUGCAAUGCUGUCGAUGGUGGCCAUUGCUGCAGUUUGUGUUUGUGUGGCUCUUUUAUUCAAGAGUUGUCCUGAAGUUGUGUACGUCUUCCGUCCCUUCAGGUGGGAAUUGUUGGACUAUGGAGCAAGCUAAGGUCCUUUUUAACUCCCAACUUGAUGGCACAGAUAGGUGGUGUGCAUUUAUAGACUGUAAAGUUAAGAUUUCCUGUGUAACCAGUGCUUCAGACAAGUUUCAGAUUCUGUAAUGUUAUUGACAUAUUUAUUUACUGUUUAGUGUAUUUUUUAGCAGUAAUUGUAACCAGUGGUUCGAUGAAUGACAAACGAAAAUGUUAUCUGACAUAUUUAUAUUCUGCAAUGUAAUAUCAUUUUCCGUUGAGGAGUCGCAUUGUUUCAAUGUUCAACUUUCAAACUAAAAAUAGAGAAUGGGAGAAUGAAUGAGGAUGCUUUAGGUCUGAUGGCAGCUAGGAAUUAAGGAAUGAAGUGGGAAGCUAUGUGAGAGGCUGAAGUAAAUUAGAUAGUUCUAAAGCCCAACUAACUAGUUGAAAAUCUCCCAGGGUUAACACCAUUGGUCUGUUUUUGAAUAUUAGAAAUAUACAUUUUUGAAAAAAAUUAAAAAGAAAAAAGAAGAAUAAAAGUAAUUAUGUCCAAAUGAAUCUAACUAGUAGUGUAACCUAAAAUGGCAGUUGAACAUGAAAAGUAGGUUAAAAAACAUGAAUGCUGCUAAUUAAGCAGGUGCUUCACACUAUAAACGAGAGAGAGAGAGAGCUCGAGUCUACAGGUAAAGAGACUAUAGACUCAUUUUUGUACAGUUUCAAAAAAGUGCAAGGAUACUUUUUG